GGCGCCAAAGUUUCAAUGGAGUGAGGAUGCUGCAGAAAAUACCAAGCUUUUAUGGCAAUUUUCAAGUCAGAGCAGCAGUUGAAGAUAUAUUUCAUUUGGGAUGGAUGAGGACAUGGGAUUGUUUGGUUUCCUUCAAAACAUAUGGAGCAUUCUUUAUCAGAACUUUCCAUAUUUUUUGCCUCGACCUGGAAUUGUAUUGGUGGAUGGAUA
rnacentral:misc_RNA from 1 species